rnacentral:tRNA from 1 species
AGCUUGGUGGUCGAGUGGUAAGACAUCUAGACUAGAAAGCAGGAGGUCGUGGGUUCGAGUCCCACCUGAGUGA